rnacentral:rRNA from 1 species
AUUGAACGCUGGCGGCAGGCCUAACACAUGCAAGUCGAGCGGAUGAAGAGAGCUUGCUCUCUGAUUCAGCGGCGGACGGGUGAGUAAUGCCCAGGAAUCUGCCUGGUAGUGGGGGACAACGUUUCGAAAGGAACGCUAAUACCGCAUACGUCCUACGGGAGAAAGCAGGGGACCUUCGGGCCUUGCGCUAUCAGAUGAGCCUAGGUCGGAUUAGCUAGUUGGUGAGGUAAUGGCUCACCAAGGCGACGAUCCGUAACUGGUCUGAGAGGAUGAUCAGUCACACUGGAACUGAGACACGGUCCAGACUCCUACGGGAGGCAGCAGUGGGGAAUAUUGGACAAUGGGCGAAAGCCUGAUCCAGCCAUGCCGCGUGUGUGAAGAAGGUCUUCGGAUUGUAAAGCACUUUAAGUUGGGAGGAAGGGUCGUUACCUAAUACGUGACGAUUUUGACGUUACCGACAGAAUAAGCACCGGCUAACUCUGUGCCAGCAGCCGCCGUAAAAC